AUACUUACUUGGCGUCAGGGAUGCCUUGAUCAUGGAGGGGGCUCCACCGGUCGGAGGCCGUUCAUUGCACUACGGGCGGCUGACGGCUGCCACUUCCGCAAAUUGCGGUUGGUUGGGGCGCACAAUUUUUGGUGGAGCCCAGUCGCC
rnacentral:snRNA from 1 species